AAAAAAGAUCUCAGGGAAAAAGUGGUGAAAGGCAAUCAAAGGAGUUAAAACAGGAGCAUGUCAAGAAAGAGGAGAAAAUAAAUCUUUGAAGAAAUGAAGUCCAUAUUGGUAAUAUGGAUGACAAAAAGCAAGGGAAUUGCAAAGAUCCCUCCAUUGUGGGAUGAAAAAUUAUAGUAGCUCUGAAUGACAUCGUCCUCCUCCAAUGACAGUGGCAUUUUCAGUUUCAUGGAAAACAUGCAAUAACUUUGGACCUCAGUUUCUUCAUCCGUGAAUGGUCCUAAUGUUCAAUCUGACUAAAGCAAAGACUGGACAUGAAUAACCAAUUUUCAAAAACUUGAAAUCAUCCAGCACCUACCUGUCAGGGAAGACAGAAGCAGCUACCUUGAUUACCAUCUCAGCAUACCUAUCUACGCAUGCACUGAGUCUUGAUGCAUGAAGAAGAGCACUUCAAGGUCAUAUUCUUGAACUCCCUCCAGCUUAUUCUCAUAAGAAGAAACAACAAUGCUUCCUCUCUUACAAGAAAGCUUUUUCAGAGAGAGAUGCUUAACUUUUGGAGAGGAGGUUGCAAUUUCUCUAAGCAGCUGAAGACUUCUUUGAGUUUCGAAGGCUGGUCUCAGAUUCUGAAUAACGCCAAAGCCUUCUGGUACCUCAAAUGUCUAAGAAACAGAAAAGUGGAAAGUCAGAGGCAAGGAGUUUCUGCCACAGGAGAGCUUGGGUCUACUGCUCAUUCUAAGACAAACCUGGGUUUUACAAGACGGAGAGAAUCUUUGGUCCAAGGAUAUUCGCUUCAAGGAUAAAAAAGUCUUGCAACCAAUGAAAUACCUCCAAAAUUCUGCUGUUCCACAAUCUGACAUCUAUUUUUC
rnacentral:lncRNA from 1 species